AGUGAACGCUGGCGGUAGGCCUAACACAUGCGAGUCGAACGGUAGCACAGUAAGAGCUUGCUCUUACGGGUGGCGAGUGGCGGACGGGUGAGGAAUACAUCGGAAUCUACUUUUUCGUGGGGGAUAACGUAGGGAAACUUACGCUAAUACCGCAUACGACCUACGGGUGAAAGCAGGGGAUCUUCGGACCUUGCGCGAUUGAAUGAGCCGAUGUCGGAUUAGCUAGUUGGCGGGGUAAAGGCCCACCAAGGCGACGAUCCGUAGCUGGUCUGAGAGGAUGAUCAGCCACACUGGAACUGAGACACGGUCCAGACUCCUACGGGAGGCAGCAGUGGGGAAUAUUGGACAAUGGGCGCAAGCCUGAUCCAGCCAUACCGCGUGGGUGAAGAAGGCCUUCGGGUUGUAAAGCCCUUUUGUUGGGAAAGAAAAGCAGCAGGUUAAUACCCCGCUGUUCUGACGGUACCCAAAGAAUAAGCACCGGCUAACUUCGUG
rnacentral:rRNA from 1 species